rnacentral:misc_RNA from 1 species
UAAAAACCUCAAGCCUGGCUUGGUGUUGGGCCUCUGCGCCUGCAGUCCCUUAAAUCCAGUGGCGGACACGCUAGGUCUCCGAGCGCAGUAGUUUCUUCUCGCUCAGGGCGUCCGGCGUGGGCUUGCCUCGCACCCAUCUUUUACAA